GUAACUACGCCUCCACUUUCCUCUCCUUUCUUCCCCACCCACCACCUCUUUAUCGUCCACGCACCUCUUCUCCCAUAGCCUCUCGCUCCACUCGCCGCCUGCGCUGACCUGUGGGCCCCUGCUUCCGCCUCCCCUUCCUCAUCUUAUUACUUUCCCCACCACGCCGAUCCGCCGGUCUGUCUCGCAAACCCUAACCCUAGCAAGCCCGCUUCGCUCCUCCCCCUCCAACAAGAUCUCUCUCCGAAUCUUUGGAUGCACCAGCUCCGAUGUCUGCCCCACCGCCACCCGCCUCCUCCGAUGAUGAUGGUAAGCCCGGCGACGAGGAGGGCGUAGAGAUCCGCGAGGUAUGGGCGAACAACCUCGAGGCGGAGUUCGCCGUGAUCCGUGACGUCGUCGACGAUUACCCGUACAUCGCCAUGGACACCGAGUUCCCGGGCAUCGUGUGCCGCCCGCUCGGGAGCUUUCGCUCCAAUGACGAGUACAACUACGCCACCCUCAAGGCCAACGUCGACAUGCUGAGCCUCAUCCAGCUUGGUCUCACCCUCUCCGACGAGAACGGCGCACUCCCGGCCAGGGGCACGGGGGGGCGCCCCUGCGCCUGGCAGUUCAACUUUCGGGGUUUCGAUCCGCGCUCAGACCCCGCCAACGCUGACUCCAUCGACCUGCUACGCAACAGCGGGAUCGACUUCGACCACUUCACCACCGAGGGUGCUGACACAGGCCACUUCGCCGAGCUGCUCAUGUCGUCGGGCGUCCUGCUCAACGCUGAGCUCCAGUGGGUCACAUUCCACAGCGGGUACGACUUCGGGUACCUGCUCAAGCUGCUAACCGGGCGGAACCUACCCGACACCAUGCCUGGAUUCUUUGACCUCAUCAGAAUCUACUUCCCUGUGCUGUACGACAUCAAGCAUCUCAUGAAGUACUGCGGCAGCCUCCAUGGUGGCUUGAGCAAGCUUGGUGAGCUACUUGGUGUCCAACGUGUGGGGAUCUGCCACCAGGCUGGGUCUGACUCGCUGCUGACCUUGCGGUGCUUCAAAAAGCUGAAGGAGGCAUAUUUCAGAGGAUCGACCGAGAAUUAUGCCGGUGUAUUGUAUGGUCUUAUUUCUGAUGGUGGGGAGAACAGACCACCAGCAGCUCUGCUCAUCGAAUGAGUAACGGAUAGUCAAAUAAGACAAUGUUAUGGUUGAAAAAAAGGAAAUGUUUCUGUUGAAUAUAUGCUCUCUGAUCUGAAUAUUUGCUUGUGGUUGCCAUAGUAUAGCUAUUGUUCCCAGUUAUAUGACUCUCGUUGCUAUAUCAUGGUAGUUCUGUUGAAUGCUCGGUCUUUCCCUUUGAGCUGUAUGGGACAUCUAUCAGGUUUGGGACAGCCCUUGAUGCGCACGACUAAAAAUUG
rnacentral:rRNA from 1 species